rnacentral:rRNA from 1 species
AGUGAACGCUGGCGGUAGGCCUAACACAUGCAAGUCGAACGGCAGCACAGUAAGAGCUUGCUCUUACGGGUGGCGAGUGGCAGACGGGUGAGGAAUACAUCGGAAUCUACUUUUUCGUGGGGGAUAACGUAGGGAAACUUACGCUAAUACCGCAUACGACCUACGGGUGAAAGCAGGGGAUCUUCGGACCUUGCGCGAUUGAAUGAGCCGAUGUCGGAUUAGCUAGUUGGCGGGGUAAAGGCCCACCAAGGCGACGAUCCGUAGCUGGUCUGAGAGGACGAUCAGCCACACUGGAACUGAGACACGGUCCAGACUCCUACGGGAGGCAGCAGUGGGGAAUAUUGGACAAUGGGCGCAAGCCUGAUCCAGCCAUACCGCGUGGGUGAAGAAGGCCUUCGGGUUGUAAAGCCCUUUUGUUGGGAAAGAAAAGCAGCAGGUUAAUACCCCGCUGUUCUGACGGUACCCAAAGAAUAAGCACCGGCUAACUUCGUG